rnacentral:rRNA from 1 species
UGGGGAAUAUUGCACAAUGGGCGCAAGCCUGAUGCAGCCAUGCCGCGUGUAUGAAGAAGGCCUUCGGGUUGUAAAGUACUUUCAGUCGGGAGGAAGGUGGUAAGGUUAAUAACCUUGGCAAUUGACGUUACCGACAGAAGAAGCACCGGCUAACUACGUGCCAGCAGCCGCGGUAAUACGUAGGUGGCAAGCGUUGUCCGGAUUUAUUGGGCGUAAAGCGAGCGCAGGCGGUUUCUUAAGUCUGAUGUGAAAGCCCCCGGCUCAACCGGGGAGGGUCAUUGGAAACUGGGAGACUUGAGUGCAGAAGAGGAGAGUGGAAUUCCAUGUGUAGCGGUGAAAUGCGUAGAUAUAUGGAGGAACACCAGUGGCGAAGGCGGCUCUCUGGUCUGUAACUGACGCUGAGGCUCGAAAGCGUGGGGAGCAAACAGG